rnacentral:rRNA from 1 species
UACGUAGGGGGCAAGCGUUAUCCGGAUUUACUGGGUGUAAAGGGAGCGUAGACGGCAGAGCAAGUCUGAAGUGAAAGCCCGCGGCCCAACUGCGGGACUGCUUUGGAAACUGCCCGGCUAGAGUGCUGGAGAGAUAAGCGGAAUUCCUAGUGUAGCGGUGAAAUGCGUAGAUAUUAGGAGGAACACCAGUGGCGAAGGCGGCUUACUGGACAGUAACUGACGUUGAGGCUCGAAAGCGUGGGGAGCAAACAGG